rnacentral:rRNA from 1 species
GAUGAACGCUGGCGGCGUGCCUAAUACAUGCAAGUCGAGCGAACGGACGAGAAGCUUGCUUCUCUGAUGUUAGCGGCGGACGGGUGAGUAACACGUGGAUAACCUACCUAUAAGACUGGGAUAACUUCGGGAAACCGGAGCUAAUACCGGAUAAUAUUUUGAACCGCAUGGUUCAAAAGUGAAAGACGGUCUUGCUGUCACUUAUAGAUGGAUCCGAGAUGCAUUAGCUAGUUGGUAAGGUAACGGCUUACCAAGGCAACGAUGCAUAGCCGACCUGAGAGGGUGAUCGGCCACACUAGAACUGAGACACGGACCAGACUCCUACGGGAGGCAGCAGUAGGGAAUCUUCCGAAAUGGGCGAAAGCCUGACGGAGCAACGCCGCGUGAGUGAUGAAGGUCUUCGGAUCGUAAAACUCUGUUAUUAGGGAAGAACAUAUGUGUAAGUAAAUGUGCACAUCUUGACGGUACCUAAUCAGAAAGCCACGGCUAACUACGUG